AAGUUUUCAUGCUCUUUUUUCUAUUUCGCAGUCUAAAUCUUCUUCUCCAGUUCUCUGUGAACACUUUCUCACUUUCCUUCAUCUCCAAUUAGGAUUUUUACUUCACUUUGAAUCUUGUUAAUUAGGGUUUUAGAAAAGGAAUUUAGGUUAAUUUUUGGGAGAAUCUAACUUUGUUGUUGAUUUUCUAUGUACAAGCAAGCUGGUGCUGCUGUUUUUCUUACUGCUCAGAGAAGGAUUUUGGAUUCUAGGGUUUCCUUUUGCGAAGGUGAUUUUGCGAUUAAACCCCCAUUUUUCAUUAAAUCUUUGUAUUUGGUAGCAUAAUAUUACAUGGGUUAGAUGUUAUUUUAGACCACCUCUACAUUUCUUUGUUGUAUUUCAGAUCUUUUAGUUAAAUUUGGUUUCUUCACAUCGGUUUGAAAUCAUCUGUUUGGGUACUGGAGUGUUUAUGAUUGGUAUGUUUUCAGAUGCAAGGAUAUGAUUUAGUUGGUAAAAUAUUAGUUAUUUGAUGAUUCCCUUGUGCUAUUAGGAAUAUGGAAAUGAAUUUGUUGAUUCCCCUGUACUAUGGAAAUGAACUAAUGGAAUAAGCUAAUACAGGGAUAGUUGAAGAUAGAUUGUAUAAUUCAUUAUCAGAAGGUCUAAAGCAUGUUUCAGAACCCUUGGAAGCUAGUUUCUGGUUUGGCUGAAUGGGUUUUUGUUUAAUUGGUGUUUGUUGAUAUUUUCUGACUGACAUGAGAAGGUGAUAAAUGAAUGGAUAGACAUGGACUUAAUCGUAUCAUUUGUUCAUUUCCUUGCACCAUAUUCUUUCAUUGUGAUUUGAUGGUUUUCUUAAUAUUUGUUUGUUUAGUAAGAUUAAUUCUCAUAGAGCAUCUACUUGAAUCUACUUUUAUAUGUUCAUUACCAUAUCUAUUAUUGCACAACUAAUUCACUCUGCAAUUUUUUCUUCUUCUAUUGGGUAUGUGGCGUAUGUAUGCUCGUGUGGCUGCUGGUUUCCGCUAAUUUUAAGUUUGUGUCUUAGUCACUUUCUGGAAAACAUGGAUAAAAGUUGGGUUCAUAAGGAUCGGUGGGGUAAGGAUUAGGUCAUUCCUGGACUAUGCGUUUAAGAGUGGUUUGUUACUGAAGACAACAAAAUGAGAUGCCCGUGUAGAGACUGCAAUAAUGUUCGUUACUGCACUGGAAAGCAGAUGUUUGAGGACUUAGUAUUACAUGGCAUGAUGAGAAGCUAUACAACCUGGUCCUGUCAUGGUGAGCGUCCGAGUUCAACAGUUGCAUCAAGUAUCAGACUACAUAAUGCAAGUGAGGAGGUUGGAGAUAACAAUGAUGAAGAGCUGGGGGAUGACAUUGUGGGUAUGUUGCGAGCUGCAUGUGGAGUACCAGUGUGUGAUGGUGAAGAUAUGGAUAGUAUGGCUGGAGAAGAGAGACGUUUUCAAGGUGAUAGUUAAGCAGCUCAGUUUUAUAAAUUGCUUGAAGAGUCAAAGAAACAAUUAUAUCCUGGUUGCGAGAAAAUUUCUUUGAUGUCUUUUCUGGUGAGAUUUUGGAAUUACAAAUGCGUUGGUGGGAUGUCUGACAAAGCAUUCAAAGAUAUGCUCCAGCUAAUGAGAGAUUCAUUUCCCGAUGGGUGCACUUUGCCUGAAAACUACACACAAUGUAGAAAGAUGCUCUCGGAGUUGGGAUUGUCGUAUAAUAAAAUUGAUGCUUGUCCGAACGAUUGAAUGCUUUAUUAUAAGGAGACCGCUGAUGAUGUAGAAUGUCGUGUUUGUAAAGCUUCUCGUUAUAAAGAUGGAAAAGGAAAAACGCCAGCUAAGAUUCUUCGUCACUUUCCUUUGAAGCCAACGCUACAGCUGUUGUAUAUGUGCUCUAAGACUGCAGAAAAUAUGACAUGGCACGACAAAGUGCGUACGAAUGAUGGGGUAUUGAGACAUCCAGCUGAUUCUGAAGCUUGGAAGCAUUUUGAUGAUAUGAAUCCGUCAUUUUCCGCUGAAUCAAGGAAUAUCAGAAUAGGUUUAGCAACUGAUGGUUUUAGUCCAUAUCACUCGAUGAGAAAUCCACAUAGCACAUAGCCUGUGAUGAUUAUACGGUACAAUUUACCUCCAUGGGAAUGCAUGAAGCCACCUAACAUGAUUUUGUCAUUGCUUAUACCAGGCCCGCAUAGUACAGGUAAUGACAUUGAUGUGUAUCUGAGGCCAUUAAUUGACGAGCUUAAGGAGUUGUGGGAGGAAGGGGUAGAUACAUAUGAUUCUUCAAGAAAUGAAAUGUUCAAUUUGCGUGUGGGGUUAUUGUGGACCAUAAGUGAUUAUCGUGGACUCACCGACCCGAAGGUGUUGUGGACAGUCAGUGGGCUCCAUUGGUUGAAAUGUGGGAAUCAGAGGAAAACCAAAUAUUAGCUGCUAAGAAUGAAGAAAACAGAUCCAAACAAAUUAUUCAUCACACAGAUGGCUCUAAGCCACAUAUGGAGUAUGCGAAAGAGUUGGAAGCAAAACUAGGAAAAUUCCCGGAACGGCUUGACAUAUUUGAGGUGACACGUUCAAAAAGAAGCAAAACAUCAGACCCAUCGGAAGCAGUGAUGGAUCCUGUGGCAGCUGAGCAAUAUGCUCGAAUGGUGAAAAUCCAGAGGCAUGCUAACCAACCAGGUUCAGCAGUCGUUUUAUCUGGGCGUAAUGAUGCAGUUUCAGCUGUGUUGGGACCUGACAAACGGGGUCGGGUUCGUUGUCUUGGUACUGUGAAACCAAAAGAACUCUGGGGUGAUGAUGCAUCACCCAGUAAGGCUGAAAAGUUACAAAGUGAAAAUGAUAGCCUUCGACAGGCUUUAGCAGCCUACCAAAAAAGAUUUUGAAAUGGCUACGAAAAGAGUUUUGGAACUUGAGACACAAUUUCCUACAUUGAUAAAGCUGAUGAUGUCAAGGGAACAACUGCAACCAAACCCAAACGGUGAAGGACUUGUUCAGGAUUUCUUGGAUGUUAUGGAAUGGAACUAAUGCAGAGACAAGAAAGUGCCGCUGUGAAAGCAUCAAAUGAUAUAUAACCAAAAGAAAAAGGGCACUCAAAUGAAUCACUAAUUGCAGCGAAGUAGUUAUAUAUACACCCUUGUUGACAUGUAUAUAUACACCAUCUAAUGUCUUACAAUGCAAAGAGUCUCAGAACCUCGUUUUAUAAGAAAGUGUUAUAAAGGUGUAACCUCGUUUUUAGUAUUACUAAGUGAAUGUAUGGAUAUAACAAGUCCACAUGGUCUUUGCUUCUGGGUCUUAUAUUGACCAACUAAAGUGAUUAGAAAAACAAAUGCGUUAUAAUGUUCUGUUCAAAGGGUUACAAACCGGGUUUAUAAGAUUUUGAAUUCAGUUAUAAAAGACAAUGAACCCCAGGUUCAUAAGGUUAUGUUAUGUCUGUUUUAGUAAGAAAGUGUUAUGGAUGUGUAA